rnacentral:rRNA from 1 species
GGGUGCAAUCAUACCAGUACUAAUGCGCCGGAUGCCAUCAAAAUUCCGCGGUUAAGCGUGUUUGGGCGAGAGUAGUACUAAGAUGAGUGACCUUUUGGGAAGUCCUUGUAUUACACCCC